rnacentral:rRNA from 1 species
UACAGAGGUCCCAAGCGUUGUUCGGAUUCACUGGGCGUAAAGGGUGCGUAGGUGGUUGGGUAAGUCUGAUGUGAAAUCUCCGGGCUCAACCCGGAAAUGGCAUUGGAUACUAUUCGGCUAGAGGUUUGGAGGGGGGACUGGAAUUCUCGGUGUAGCAGUGAAAUGCGUAGAUAUCCGGAAGAACACCGGUGGCGAAGGCGGCCUGCUGGGCAGUAGCUGACGCUGAUGCGCGACAGCGUGGGGAGCAAACAGG